rnacentral:rRNA from 1 species
AACGCGAAGAACCUUACCAGGGUUUGACAUCCUGCGAAUCUCUUGGAAACGAGAGAGUGCCUUCGGGAACGCAGUGACAGGUGGUGCAUGGCUGUCGUCAGCUCGUGUCGUGAGAUGUUGGGUUAAGUCCCGCAACGAGCGCAACCCACGUCUUUAGUUGCCAGCAUUUAGUUGGGCACUCUAAAGAGACCGCCGGUGAUAAACCGGAGGAAGGUGUGGAUGACCUCAAGUCAUCAUGCCCCUUACAUCCUGGGCUACACACGUACUACAAUGGUACGGACAAAGGGCAGCAAGUUCGCGAGGACAAGCAAAUCCCAUAAACCGUGGCUCAGUUCAGAUCGUAGGCUGCAACUCGCCUACGUGAAGGAGGAAUCGCUAGUAAUCGCAGGUCAGCAUACUGCGGUGAAUACGUUCCCGGGCCUUGUACACACCG